rnacentral:rRNA from 1 species
AUACGGAGGGUGCAAGCGUUACUCGGAAUCACUGGGCGUAAAGGGUGCGUAGGCUGGCUUUUAAGUCAGAUGUGAAAUCCAAUGGCUCAACCAUUGAACUGCAUUUGAAACUGAAGGCCUAGAGUUCAGAAGGGGCAGAUGGAAUUAGUGGUGUAGGGGUAAAAUCCGUAGAUAUCACUAGGAAUAUCAAAAGCGAAGGCGAUCUGCUGGGAUGAUACUGACGCUGAGGCACGAAAGCGUGGGGAGC